rnacentral:snoRNA from 12 species
UGAUCAGAUAGGAUAAUUCUUACCUGUUCCACCUCUUGGAGGGCAGAACAGAACAUGAUGACUGGAGUUUGCAUGAUUCGUGAUUAAGGUCGCUGCGUGGUCAGGUGUUGCAACACCCUGAUUGCUACACCCUGAU